rnacentral:rRNA from 2 species
GGUAAAUCCGGUUCACUUUAACACUGAGGCGUGACGACGAGGCACUACGGUGCUGAAGCAACAAAUGCCCUGCUUCCAGGAAAAGCCUCUAAGCAUCAGGUAACAUCAAAUCGUACCCCAAACCGACACAGGUGGUCAGGUAGAGAAUACCAAGGCGCUUGAGAGAACUCGGGUGAAGGAACUAGGCAAAAUGGUGCCGUAACUUCGGGAGAAGGCACGCUGACACGUAGGUGAAGUGAUUUACUCAUGGAGCUGAAGUCAGUCGAAGAUACCAGCUGGCUGCAACUGUUUAUUAAAAACACAGCACUGUGCAAACACGAAAGUGGACGUAUACGGUGUGACGCCUGCCCGGUGCCGGAAGGUUAAUUGAUGGGGUCAGCGCAAGCGAAGCUCCUGAUCGAAGCCCCGGUAAACGGCGGCCGUAACUAUAACGGUCCUAAGGUAGCGAAAUUCCUUGUCGGGUAAGUUCCGACCUGCACGAAUGGCGUAAUGAUGGCCAGGCUGUCUCCACCCGAGACUCAGUGAAAUUGAACUCGCUGUGAAGAUGCAGUGUACCCGCGGCAAGACGGAAAGACCCCGUGAACCUUUACUAUAGCUUGACACUGAACAUUGAGCCUUGAUGUGUAGGAUAGGUGGGAGGCUUUGAAGUGUGGACGCCAGUCUGCAUGGAGCCGACCUUGAAAUACCACCCUUUAAUGUUUGAUGUUCUAACGUGGACCCGUUACCCGGGUUGCGGACAGUGUCUGGUGGGUAGUUUGACUGGGGCGGUCUCCUCCUAAAGAGUAACGGAGGAGCACGAAGGUUGGCUAAUCCUGGUCGGACAUCAGGAGGUUAGUGCAAUGGCAUAAGCCAGCUUGACUGCGAGCGUGACGGCGCGAGCAGGUGCGAAAGCAGGUCAUAGUGAUCCGGUGGUUCUGAAUGGAAGGGCCAUCGCUCAACGGAUAAAAGGUACUCCGGGGAUAACAGGCUGAUACCGCCCAAGAGUUCAUAUCGACGGCGGUGUUUGGCACCUCGAUGUCGGCUCAUCACAUCCUGGGGCUGAAGUAGGUCCCAAGGGUAUGGCUGUUCGCCAUUUAAAGUGGUACGCGAGCUGGGUUUAGAACGUCGUGAGACAGUUCGGUCCCUAUCUGCCGUGGGCGCUGGAGAACUGAGGGGGGCUGCUCCUAGUACGAGAGGACCGGAGUGGACGCAUCACUGGUGUUCGGGUUGUCAUGCCAAUGGCACUGCCCGGUAGCUAAAUGCGGAAGAGAUAAGUGCUGAAAGCAUCUAAGCACGAAACUUGCCCCGAG